ACCAGACUUGGGAGAGUUGAUUCUAAUUAAUUUGUUUACAUUGUACUCAUUACAAACGAGAGAGGCAGCUGUUACACCGCCCCUUUGCCUCGUCGUUAUUUGUUGUCACUACCUCGAAGUGUCUUCAUUGGGUAAGUUGCGCGCCUGCUGCUUUCCUUAGAAAUAAUAGCCGUUUCUAACCGCUCUUUCUCCAGAACCGAACCCUAAUUCUCUGUCACCCGUUACAACAAUGGUAAGCCCCUAUCUUACCAUCGAAAGUUGAUAGAUAAGAAAUUUGAAUGAAGCGGCGAUCAAUCUCGCUCUGCUAGUUGGUAAACUGUGUUUCAUCAGCGGAGUUGUGUACUCUCUUGAUGUGAAUCUAGUUAACGCAGAGAUCAGAAUAUUGCUACCCCUCUCUCCUUUUUGCAUGUAUUAUCUCUAGAUUUCCUACAGUUAUCCACAUAUAUGUUUGGAACUGUUUCAAGUUCCCCCAUUCAAGUAAAUUAUAACUUUUUUAAUAAGCCGUUCACAGUUUCGAGAGUGCGAGUCUCUAUACUUACAUUUGCAUGGCUUAAUCCUUUACACAAGCAUAUAUGUCUGGCAGGAUCAACCAG
rnacentral:rRNA from 1 species